rnacentral:rRNA from 1 species
AACAAACGCUGGCGGCGUGCCUAAUACAUGCAAGUCGAACGGGGAAAGUAGCAAUAUGAGUACUAGUGGCGCACGGGUGAGUAACGCGUGGAUAAUCUGCCUUGAAGAGGGGGAUAACUAGUCGAAAGAUUAGCUAAUACCGCAUAAGACCACAAGAACUGAGGUUCAAGGGGUCAAAGGUUUUUCGCUUCAAGAUGAGUCCGCGUAAGAUUAGCUAGUUGGUGAGGUAAUGGCUCACCAAGGCAACGAUCUUUAACUGGUCUGAGAGGAUGAUCAGUCACACUGGAACUGAGACACGGUCCAGACUCCUACGGGAGGCAGUAGUAGGGAAUAUUGCACAAUGGAGGAAACUCUGAUGCAGCGACGCCGCGUGAGUGAUGAAGGCCUUCGGGUCGUAAAGCUCUGUCGCAGGGGAAUAACACAAUGAAUGUACCCUGUAAGAAAGGAUCGGCUAACUUCGUG